rnacentral:rRNA from 1 species
AUGAACGCUAGCUACAGGCUUAACACAUGCAAGUCGAGGGGCAUCAGGAAGAAAGCUUGCUUUCUUUGCUGGCGACCGGCGCACGGGUGAGUAACACGUAUCCAACCUGCCGAUGACUCGGGGAUAGCCUUUCGAAAGAAAGAUUAAUACCCGAUGGUAUAUCUGAAAGGCAUCUUUCAGCUAUUAAAGAAUUUCGGUCAUUGAUGGGGAUGCGUUCCAUUAGGUUGUUGGCGGGGUAACGGCCCACCAAGCCAUCGAUGGAUAGGGGUUCUGAGAGGAAGGUCCCCCACAUUGGAACUGAGACACGGUCCAAACUCCUACGGGAGGCAGCAGUGAGGAAUAUUGGUCAAUGGACGAGAGUCUGAACCAGCCAAGUAGCGUGAAGGAUGACUGCCCUAUGGGUUGUAAACUUCUUUUAUACGGGAAUAAAGUUAGGCACGUGUGCCUUUUUGUAUGUACCGUAUGAAUAAGGAUCGGCUAACUCCGUGCCAGCAGCCGCGGUAAUACGGAGGAUCCGAGCGUUAUCCGGAUUUAUUGGGUUUAAAGGGAGCGUAGGCGGAUGCUUAAGUCAGUUGUGAAAGUUUGCGGCUCAACCGUAAAAUUGCAGUUGAUACUGGGUGUCUUGAGUACAGUAGAGGCAGGCGGAAUUCGUGGUGUAGCGGUGAAAUGCUUAGAUAUCACGAAGAACUCCGAUUGCGAAGGCAGCUUGCUGGACUGUAACUGACGCUGAUGCUCGAAAGUGUGGGUAUCAAACAGGAUUAGAUACCCUGGUAGUCCACACAGUAAACGAUGAAUACUCGCUGUUUGCGAUAUACAGUAAGCGGCCAAGCGAAAGCGUUAAGUAUUCCACCUGGGGAGUACGCCGGCAACGGUGAAACUCAAAGGAAUUGACGGGGGCCCGCACAAGCAGUGGAGUAUGUGGUUUAAUUCGAAGCAACGCGAAGAACCUUACCAGGUCUUGACAUCCCGAUGACCGGUUCGUAAUGGAACCUUCUCUUCGGAGCAUUGGAGACAGGUGGUGCAUGGUUGUCGUCAGCUCGUGUCGUGAGAUGUUGGGUUAAGUCCCGCAACGAGCGCAACCCCUGUCCUUAGUAGCCAGCGGUCCGGCCGGGCACUCUAGGGAGACUGCCAGGGAUAACCUGGAGGAAGGCGGGGAUGACGUCAAAUCAUCAUGCCCCUUAUGACUUGGGCUACACACGUGCUACAAUGGCGUAAACAAAGGGAAGCAAAGCUGUGAAGCCGAGCAAAUCUCAAAAAUAACGUCUCAGUUCGGACUGUAGUCUGCAACCCGACUACACGAAGCUGGAAUCGCUAGUAAUCGCAGAUCAGAAUGCUGCGGUGAAUACGUUCCCGGGUCUUGUACACACCGCCCGUCACACCAUGGGAGUUGGGAAUGCCCGAAGCCAGUGACCUAACCGAAAGGAAGGAGCUGUCGAAGGCAGGCUCGAUAACUGGGGUG